rnacentral:lncRNA from 1 species
CUGCUAUAUACUUUUGUGUUCUCUGCUUUGUUUACUAAUAAUAGGGCAAUUUUAAGGAGGUUUAUUUCCUCUAAAAGGAAGCUGGCCUGUGCACCUAAUUAAAACCAAUUUUCAAGCUCUGAACAAGGUCCCGGAUUUCGAUCCACAAAAUCCCAUCAAGCAUGUCCUCUCCUUGAAGACAGGGUUGAUGAUUUUUAAAGCCCCAGGUCUCCUGGCUCCAAACACAUAUGCUUUUCCAGUCUUUGCUAUAUCCUCCAAGAAGAAGCUGGCAGCUCAUAGCCAGAAGAGAGAUGAGUAAAGCCAAGACAGCUGCCAUCCAGCCAGCGACUCAAGGACCCGGGCUCCUCUGUCUCACGAUUUCAAGGGAGAAAAGAAGAGAGAACAUUGGAGGGAACAUGUCAACAUCAACAUGUCCCUGGCCUAGAAGCUAACCACAGCACAGCCAGAAUCAGCAUGUGACCUGGCACCAUUUACUGCUCAGGGGGACCGCGAAAGCCACUCUUUAAAGAGCCGCAGUCAUCUAUAUGAAAAUAAGAAGCAGAAAGUUCAAAAGCUUAAGUACUCAUUGGAAAAGUGCAGUGCUGUCCUGCUGUCUCUUUGUUAUCCAACAAAAGGCAGGAAAAAGGAGAGAAAAAGAGGUGUGUGUCUUUCUCAGACAAGGCAGAGAUAAGGUGGGUGCUGAACUAUGUCAGUGGGCAAAGGAGAGAGUAUAGUUUCAGGCUUUACAAAAAAUGUGGAAGUCACUGACAUCUUUUUUUCAAUUUAUAUUCUAAAUCUGGG